rnacentral:rRNA from 1 species
UACGAAGGGGGCUAGCGUUGCUCGGAAUUACUGGGCGUAAAGCGCACGUAGGCGGCUUUCUAAGUCGGGGGUGAAAUCCUGGAGCUCAACUCCAGAACUGCCUUCGAUACUGGAAAGCUCGAGUCCGGGAGAGGUGAGUGGAACUGCGAGUGUAGAGGUGAAAUUCGUAGAUAUUCGCAAGAACACCAGUGGCGAAGGCGGCUCACUGGCCCGGUACCGACGCUGAGGUGCGAAAGCGUGGGGAGCGAACGGG